AUGAAACACUCCUACGGGAGGCAGCAGUGGGGAAUAUUGGUCAAUGGGCGGAAGCCUGAACCAGCCGAGUAGCGUGCAGGAUGACGGCCCUAUGGGUUGUAAACUGCUUUUAUGCGGGGAUAAAGGGGCUCACGUGUGGGCUUUUGCAGGUACCGCAUGAAUAAGGACCGGCUAAUUCCGUGCCAGCAGCCGCGGUAAUACGGAAGGUCCGGGCGUUAUCCGGAUUUAUUGGGUUUAAAGGGAGCGUAGGCCGCCCCUUAAGCGUGUUGUGAAAUGCGGGUGCUCAACAUCCGACUUGCAGCGCGAACUGGGGGGCUUGAGUGCGCCGAAAGUAGGCGGAAUUCGUGGUGUAGCGGUGAAAUGCUUAGAUAUCACGAAGAACUCCGAUUGCGAAGGCAGCUUACUGUAGCGCAACUGACGCUGAUGCUCGAAAGCGUGGGUAUCGAACAGGAUUAGAUACCCUUGUAGUCCGAAGUUC
rnacentral:rRNA from 1 species